GUACAGGUGCUGCAUGGCUGUCGUCAGCUCGUGUCGUGAGAUGUUCGGUUAAGUCCGCUAACGAGCACAACCCUCGCUGUGUGUUACAAGUGUCACACGGAACUGCCGGUCAUAAACCGGAGGAAGGUGGGGAUGACGCCAAGUCAGCAUGGCCUUUAUAUCCUGGGCUACACACACGCUACAAUGGGAAGGGACAAUAGGUUGCGAAGCCGCGAGGCGGAGCCAAUCCAGCAAAACUUCCCUCAGUUCAGAUUGCAGGCUGCAACUCGCCUGCAUGAAGUUGGAGUUGCUAGUAAACGCAGGUCAGCCAUACUGCGUUGAAUACGUUCCCGGGUCUU
rnacentral:rRNA from 1 species